CGUUCUGUAAGCCUGCGAAGGUGUGCUGUGAGGCAUGCUGGAGGUAUCAGAAGUGCGAAUGCUGACAUAAGUAACGAUAAAGCGGGUGAAAAGCCCGCUCGCCGGAAGACCAAGGGUUCCUGUCCAACGUUAAUCGGGGCAGGGUGAGUCGACCCCUAAGGCGAGGCCGAAAGGCGUAGUCGAUGGGAAACAGGUUAAUAUUCCUGUACUUGGUGUUACUGCGAAGGGGGGACGGAGAAGGCUAUGUUGGCCGGGCGACGGUUGUCCCGGUUUAAGCGUGUAGGCUGGUUUUCCAGGCAAAUCCGGAAAAUCAAGGCUGAGGCGUGAUGACGAGGCACUACGGUGCUGAAGCAACAAAUGCCCUGCUUCCAGGAAAAGCCUCUAAGCAUCAGGUAACAUCAAAUCGUACCCCAAACCGACACAGGUGGUCAGGUAGAGAAUACCAAGGCGCUUGAGAGAACUCGGGUGAAGGAACUAGGCAAAAUGGUGCCGUAACUUCGGGAGAAGGCACGCUGAUAUGUAGGUGAAGUCCCUCGCGGAUGGAGCUGAAAUCAGUCGAAGAUACCAGCUGGCUGCAACUGUUUAUUAAAAACACAGCACUGUGCAAACACGAAAGUGGACGUAUACGGUGUGAC
rnacentral:rRNA from 1 species